AGUGAACGCUGGCGGCAGGCCUAACACAUGCAAGUCGAGCGGCAGCGGGUUCCCGCGAGGGGAUGCCGGCGAGCGGCGGACGGGUGAGGAACACAUCGGAAUCUGCCUGGUUGUGGGGGAUAACGUAGGGAAACUUACGCUAAUACCGCAUGAGACCCUGAGUCGACGGACUGGGGGUGAAAGUGAGGGGCCUUCGGGCCUCACGCGACCAGAUGAGCCGAUGUCGGAUUAGCUAGUUGGCGGGGUAACGGCCCGCCAAGGCGACGAUCCGUAGCUGGUCUGAGAGGAUGAUCAGCCACACUGGGACUGAGACACGGCCCAGACUCCUACGGGAGGCAGCAGUGGGGAAUUUUGGGCAAUGGGCGAAAGCCUGACCCAGCAACGCCGCGUGAAGGAUGAAA
rnacentral:rRNA from 1 species